GGGAGGUAGUGACAAUAAAUAACAAUACAGGGUUCUUUUGGAUCUUGUAAUUGGAAUGAGUACAAUUUAAAUCUCUUAACGAGGAACAAUUGGAGGGCAAGUCUGGUGCCAGCAGCCGCGGUAAUUCCAGCUCCAAUAGCGUAUAUUAAAGUUGUUGCAGUUAAAAAGCUCGUAGUUGAAUUUCGGGAUCAAUGUUUCGGUCAUGCCGUUGGUAUGUACUGAUACUAUUGAUUUCUCACCUUCUAAAGAACCGUAAUGCCAUUAAUUUGGUGUCACGGGGAAUUAGGACUGUUACCUUGAAAAAAUUAGAGUGUUUAAAGCAGGCUCACGCUUGAAUACAUUAGCAUGGAAUAAUGAAAUAGGACAUCCGAUUCUAUUUUGUUGGUUUCUAGGAUCGAUGUAAUGAUUAAUAGGGAUAGUUGGG
rnacentral:rRNA from 1 species